UUGUGKYGUAAGSUCUKCCAGGASACGGUAGCGCUARCGCUUCGCAUUGAUCRAUCGCCGAUCCUACGAGGMGCAUGGGAWCUGCACAUGGCAGCURUGCAGSACCYCGSUGGGRGSKAMCGCCUCAGGUUSUAACCUYYUUCMCCAUCGACGAAGUCGGGUUUCYCGAUGACGGUAGKKGAGAAGAAGCACCGYCACUACGUGCCAGCAGCGCGUAAUACGUAGGGUGCGAGCGUGUCCGAAUUACUGGSKUAAGAGCUCGUAGGUGGUUUGUCGCGUUGUUCGUGAAAUCUCACGGCUUAACUGUGAGCGUGCGGGCGAUACGGGCAGACUAGAGUACUGCAGGGGAGACUGGAAUUCCUGGUGUAGCGGUGGAAUGCGCAGAUAUCAGGAGGAACACCGGUGGCGAAGGCGGGUCUCUGGGCAGUAACUGACGCUGAGGAGCGAAAGCGUGGGGAGCGAACAGGAUUAGAUACCCUGGUAGUCCACGCCGUAAACGGUGGGUACUAGGUGUGGGUUUCCUUCCUUGGGAUCCGUGCCGUAGCUAACGCAUUAAGUACCCCGCCUGGGGAGUACGGCCGCAAGGCUAAAACUCAAAGGAAUUGACGGGGGCCCGCACAAGCGGCGGAGCAUGUGGAUUAAUUCGAUGCAACGCGAAGAACCUUACCUGGGUUUGACAUGCACAGGACGCGUCUAGAGAUAGGCGUUCCCUUGUGGCCUGUGUGCAGGUGGUGCAUGGCUGUCGUCAGCUCGUGUCGUGAGAUGUUGGGUUAAGUCCCGCAACGAGCGCAACCCUUGUCUCAUGUUGCCAGCGGGUAAUGCCGGGGACUCGUGAGAGACUGCCGGGGUCAACUCGGAGGAAGGUGGGGAUGACGUCAAGUCAUCAUGCCCCUUAUGUCCAGGGCUUCACACAUGCUACAAUGGCCGGUACAAAGGGCUGCGAUGCCGUAAGGUUAAGCGAAUCCUUUUAAAGCCGGUCUCAGUUCGGAUUGGGGUCUGCAACUCGACCCCAUGAAGUCGGAGUCGCUAGUAAUCGCAGAUCAGCAACGCUGCGGUGAAUACGUUCCCGGGCCUUGUACACACCGCCCGUCACGUCAUGAAAGUCGGUAACACCCGAAGCCAGUGGCCUAACCUUUUGGAGGGAGCUGUCGAAGGUGGGAUCGGCGAUUGGGACGAAGUCGUAACAAGGUAACCGUAGAAUCGAAUUCCCGCGGCCGCCAUGGCGGCCGGAGCAUGCGAC
rnacentral:rRNA from 1 species